GAUGAACGCUAGCGGCAGGCUUAAUACAUGCAAGUCGAGGGACAGCACAGGUAGCAAUACUGGGUGGUAACCGGCAAACGGGUGCGGAACACGUACACAACCUUCCUUUAAGUGGGGGAUAGCCCAGAGAAAUUUGGAUUAAUACCCCGUAAUAUAGUUGAAUGGCAUCAUUUGAUUAUUAUAGCUACGGCGCUUAAUGAUGGGUGUGCGGCUGAUUAGAUAGUUGGCGGGAUAACGGCCCACCAAGGCUACGAUCAGGAGCUGCUGUGAGCGCAUGAUCAGCCACACGGGCACUGAGACACGGGCCCGACUCCUACUGGAGGCAGCAGUAAGGAAUAUUGGUCAAUGGACGCAAGUCUGAACCAGCCAUGCCGCGUGAAGGAUUAAGGUCCUCUGGAUUGUAAACUUCUUUUAUUUGGGACGAAAAAGGGCCUUUCUAGGUCAACUGACGGUACCAGAUGAAUAAGCACCGGCUAACUCCGUGCCAGCCGCCGCCGUAACAC
rnacentral:rRNA from 1 species